rnacentral:rRNA from 1 species
GCAAUUAUACAGCGAAACUGCGAAUGGCUCAUUAUAUAAGUUAUCGUUUAUUUGAUAGUACCUUACUACUUGGAUAACCGUGGUAAUUCUAGAGCUAAUACAUGCUAAAAAUCCCGACUUCGGAAGGGAUGUAUUUAUUAGAUUAAAAACCAAUGCCCUCUGGGCUCUCUGGUGAUUCAUGAUAACUUCUCGAAUCGCAUGGCCUUGCGCCGGCGAUGGUUCAUUCAAAUUUCUUCCCUAUCAACUUUCGAUGUUUGGGUAUUGGCCAAACAUGGUCGCAACGGGUAACGGAGGGUUAGGGCUCGACCCCGGAGAAGGAGCCUGAGAAACGGCUACUACAUCCAAGGAAGGCAGCAGGCGCGCAAAUUACCCAAUCCCGACACGGGGAGGUAGUGACAAUAAAUACUGAUACAGGGCUCUUUCGGGUCUUGUAAUUGGAAUGAGUACAAAUUUAAAUCCCUUAACGAGGAACAAUUGGAGGGCAAGUCUGGU